GUCUUGUAACAAGCAUCGUCUAUAUUUUGACAACGCUCUUACUGGAGGUCUUUUGGCAAGCUGCUGAAUUUCAUCUUGUUGGUAGAAUUAACGUUUAUUGGUUGUUGGAAGAUAAAGUUUUUUGAGGGAAAACAUGGCACAGCAACAUCGGGAAAACAUGCGGUAAGGUGACUUUGCUUAUUUACAGCUAAGUAUUUGAGGCAAACCUAGAAGUAUUU